ensembl:ribozyme RNaseP_nuc Nuclear RNase P
GCGGGAGGAAGCUCACUGUAGAGAUCACAUGCAGAGUGCUCGUCACUCACCCAAUCAUCUCGGGGAAGGUCUGAGACAAGAGCCAAUUGCUGCCCUCACAGGACAUCAUCUGACUCAGAUGAGCGAGCGCACAGAAAACUUGGGCCAACGCAUGGCGUUCACGCAUGAGACGUUGGUGACUGCACAAUUCAGCAUGCUAACUGAUGCGAACCCUGCUGGCUUGGAACCACUCGCGGCUAGCAAGCUGAGUGCGAUGUGUGAGCUGGUACAUGGGACCAGAACCCAAUUCAGACUACUCUCCCCCCAC